rnacentral:rRNA from 1 species
GACGACCGGCGCACGGGUGCGUAACGCGUAUACAAUCUACCUUUUACAGGGGCAUAGCCCGGGGAAACCCGGAUUAAUAUCCCAUGGUAUCAUUUAGUGGCAUCACUUGAAUGAUUAAAGCUUCGGCGGUAAAAGAUGAGUAUGCGUUCUAUUAGCUAGAUGGUAAGGUAACGGCUUACCAUGGCUACGAUAGAUAGGGGUCCUGAGAGGGAGAUCCCCCACACUGGUACUGAGACACGGACCAGACUCCUACGGGAGGCAGCAGUGAGGAAUAUUGGACAAUGGGCGAGAGCCUGAUCCAGCCAUGCCGCGUGCAGGAAGACUGCCCUAUGGGUUGUAAACUGCUUUUAUACGGGAAGAAACACUCCUUCGUGAAGGAGCUUGACGGUACCGUACGAAUAAGGAUCGGCUAACUCCGUGCCAGCAGCCGCGGUAAUACGGAGGAUCCAAGCGUUAUCCGGAAUCAUUGGGUUUAAAGGGUCCGUAGGCGGGAUAAUAAGUCAGUGGUGAAAGUCUGCAGCUCAACUGUAGAACUGCCAUUGAAACUGUUGUCCUUGAGUAAUUAUGAAGUGGUUAGAAUAUGUAGUGUAGCGGUGAAAUGCAUAGAUAUUACAUAGAAUACCGAUUGCGAAGGCAGAUCACUAAUAAUUUACUGACGCUGAUGGACGAAAGCGUAGGUAGCGAACAGGAUUAGAUACCCUGGUAGUCUACGCCGUAAACGAUGGUUACUAGCUGUUUGGCUCGAUUGAGAGCUGAGUGGCUAAGCGAAAGUGAUAAGUAACCCACCUGGGGAGUACGUUCGCAAGAAUGAA